UACAGAGGGGGCAAGCGUUGUUCGGAAUUACUGGGCGUAAAGGGCGCGUAGGCGGCCUUCUAAGUCGAACGUGAAAUCCCCGGGCUCAACCCGGGAACUGCGUCCGAUACUGGAAGGCUUGAAUCCGGGAGAGGGAUGCGGAAUUCCGAGGUGUAGCGGUGAAAUGCGUAGAGAUCGGGAGGAACACCGGUGGCGAAGGCGGCUGCCUGGACCAGUCCUGACGCUGAGGCGCGAAAGCUAGGGGAGCAAACAGG
rnacentral:rRNA from 1 species